rnacentral:rRNA from 1 species
ACAUGCAAGUCGAGCGAUCUUCUUCGGAAGAGAGCGGCGGACGGGUGAGUAACGCGUGGGUAACCUGCCCUGUACACACGGAUAACAUACCGAAAGGUAUGCUAAUACGGGAUAACAUAAGAAAGUCGCAUGGCUUUCUUAUCAAAGCUUUUGCGGUACAGGAUGGACCCGCGUCUGAUUAGCUAGUUGGUAAGGUAACGGCUUACCAAGGCGACGAUCAGUAGCCGACCUGAGAGGGUGAUCGGCCACAUUGGAACUGAGACACGGUCCAAACUCCUACGGGAGGCAGCAGUGGGGAAUAUUGCACAAUGGGCGAAAGCCUGAUGCAGCAACGCCGCGUGAGCGAUGAAGGCCUUCGGGUCGUAAAGCUCUGUCCUCAAGGAAGAUAAUGACGGUACUUGAGGAGGAAGCCCCGGCUAACUACGUGCCAGCAGCCGCGGUAAUACGUAGGGGGCUAGCGUUAUCCGGAAUUACUGGGCGUAAAGGGUGCGUAGGCGGUCUUUCAAGUCAGAAGUGAAAGGCUACGGCUCAACCGUAGUAAGCUUUUGAAACUGUAAGACUUGAGUGCAGGAGAGGAGAGUGGAAUUCCUAGUGUAGCGGUGAAAUGCGUAGAUAUUAGGAGGAACACCAGUUGCGAAGGCGGCUCUCUGAACUGUAACUGACGCUGAGGCACGAAAGCGUGGGGAGCAAACAGG